rnacentral:rRNA from 1 species
AACGAACGCUGGCGGCAGGCCUAACACAUGCAAGUCGAACGCCGUAGCAAUACGGAGUGGCAGACGGGUGAGUAACGCGUGGGAACAUACCCCUCGGUUCGGAAUAACUCAGGGAAACUUGAGCUAAUACCGGAUACGUCCAAGGUUUUAAUCGACCUUGGAGAAAGAUUUAUCGCCGGAGGAUUGGCCCGCGUCUGAUUAGCUUGUUGGUGAGGUAAUGGCUCACCAAGGCGACGAUCAGUAGCUGGUCUGAGAGGAUGAUCAGCCACAUUGGGACUGAGACACGGCCCAAACUCCUACGGGAGGCAGCAGUGGGGAAUAUUGGACAAUGGGCGUAAGCCUGAUCCAGCCAUGCCGCGUGAGUGAUGAAGGCCUUAGGGUGUAAAGACUCUUUUACCGGGAAGAUAAUGACGGUACCGGGAGAAUAAGCCCCGGCUAACUUCGUGCCAGCCG